rnacentral:rRNA from 1 species
CCUACGGGAGGCAGCAGUAGGGAAUAUUGCACAAUGGGGGAAACCCUGAUGCAGCAACGCCGCGUGAGUGAAGAAGGCCCUUGGGUUGUAAAGCUCUUUAGCGAGGGGAGAAGCCGUCCAUGGUGAACAAUCAUGGGGGGUGACGGUACCUCGAGAAUAAGCACCGGCUAAUUUCGUGCCAGCACCGCGGUAA